rnacentral:rRNA from 1 species
UGCUUUACACAUGCAAGUCGAACGGCAGCACGGACUUCGGUCUGGUGGCGAGUGGCGAACGGGUGAGUAAUGCAUCGGAACGUGCCCAGUCGUGGGGGAUAACGUAGCGAAAGUUACGCUAAUACCGCAUACGACCUACGGGAGAAAGCAGGGGAUCGCAAGACCUUGCGCGAUUGGAGCGGCCGAUGUCAGAUUAGCUAGUUGGUGGGGUAAAGGCCUACCAAGGCGACGAUCUGCAGCGGGUCUGAGAGGAUGAUCCGCCACACUGGAACUGAGACACGGUCCAGACUCCUACGGGAGGCAGCAGUGGGGAAUUUUGGACAAUGGGCGAAAGCCUGAUCCUGCCAUUCCGCGUGAGUGAUGAAGGCCUUCGGGUGCAAAGCUU